rnacentral:rRNA from 1 species
CCCUGCCAUUUGUACACACCGCCCGUCGCUACUACCGAUUGAAUGGCUUAGUGAGCCUUUGGGAUUGGCAGCUUGUACCGGCAACGGUAGCAGGCCGCUGAAAACUUAGGCAAACUUGGUCAUUUAGAGGAAGUAAAAGUCGUAACAAGGUUUC